rnacentral:lncRNA from 1 species
UAUCAUUAUUUUAUUAGUUAGAAAGGUAUCAUAGAUAAUGUUUAGAGAGAGCAAACAAUGUCAGUAGUUAUGUUUUUGUGACUGGCUAAAGCAGCUAUCACUCAACAAUAUUCUUUUCUGUUGCUUUGGAACAGCAAUGCUAUACAGAAGAUGGAGCAGCUCCUGAGCCACUGCAGCUUGCAGCCUACUUAAUAAAUAGCUUACCUGCUUGGCUGUGAAAUGCACUAGGACAAAACCUGGUACCUAAACUGGAUCAGACUUGUCAUAAGAGAAGCAUCUUGAAGAGGAGAAAGGCUUAUUUCAUCCUGAUUCACACUGUUGCCCAGCCUCCCAACCCUAAGAUGCCAAAAGUUAAGAAAGGAUUUGUGAGCCACCACGGUGAAUGCGAGAGGGAACAGCUGGGCAUGGGCAAGUUACACUGAGGGAGAGAAGUGAGCAUGGGCAAGGGGAGAACGAACAAAACACCCUUUUCAGGUGGGACAAACUUUUAGCCUCACUGUGACUGAGAGCUUCUUCCAGUGUAUUCACUGAGACGUUUUAGAAACUUGCUAUGUGUUUUUCAGCAUUCUCUUUCCAGUGGGG